rnacentral:rRNA from 1 species
AGUCGACGGAAGGUCUCUUCGGAGAUACUCGAGUGGCGAACGGGUGAGUAACACGUGGGUGAUCUGCCCUGCACUUUGGGAUAAGCCCGGGACACUGGGUCUAAUACCGAAUAGGACCACGGGAUGCAUGUCCUGUGGUGGAAAGCUUUUGCGGUGUGGGAUGGGCCCGCGGCCUAUCAGCUUGUUGGUGGGGUCACGGCCCACCAAGGCGACGACGGGUAGCCGGCCUGAGAGGGUGUACGGCCACACUGGGACUGAGAUACGGCCCAGACUCCUACGGGAGGCAGCAGUGGGGAAUAUUGCACAAUGGGCGCAAGCCUGAUGCAGCGACGCCGCGUGGGGGAUGACGGCCUUCGGGUUGUAAACCUCUUUCACCAUUGACGAAGGUCUGGGUCUUCUCAGGCUGACGGUAGGUGGAGAAGAAGCACCGGCCAACUACGUGCCAGCAGCCGCGGUAAUACGUAGGGUGCGAGCGUUGUCCGGAAUUACUGGGCGUAAAGAGCUCGUAGGUGGUUUGUCGCGUUGUUCGUGAAAACUCACGGCUCAACUGUGAGCGUGCGAGCGAUACGGGCAAGCUAGAGUACUGCAGGGGAGACUGGAAUUCCUGGUGUAGCGGUGGAAUGCGCAGAUAUCAGGAGGAACACCGGUGGCGAAGGCGGGUCUCUGGGCAGUAACNNNCGCUGAGGAGCGAAAGCGUGGGGAGCGNNNAGGAUUAGANNNNNNNGUAGUCCACGCCGUAAACGGUGGGUACUAGGUGUNNNNNNCCUUCCUCGGNNNUCGUGCCGUAGCUAACG